AGUCAAUCAAUAUUCAGGAACUAGUAUACUGGUGUUCGAUAACGAAUCUAGAGGAGAUCUGUAUGAUGUCUUACUUCGGGAAUAAUCCGUGAACUCAUUUUAAUAUCGUGAUAUUUUUUUAGCGCUUUGAACGGUAGAAGAUAAAUCGACACUGCUGAAUGAAUUGAAACCGCAGAAUAAACCUACACUGGGGAAUAAAUCGACACAGCUGGAUAAAGCGCUUUGAACGGUAGAAGAUAAAUCGACACUGCUGAAUGAAUUGAAACCGCAGAAUAAACCUACACUGGAGAAUAAAUCGACACAGCUGGAUAAAGCGCUUUGAACGGUAGAAGAUAAAUCGACACUGCUGAAUGAAUUGAAACCGCAGAAUAAACCUACACUGGGGAAUAAAUCGACACAGCUGGAUAAAGCGCUUUGAACGGUAGAAGAUAAAUCGGCACUGCUGAAUGAAUUGAAACCGCAGAAUAAACCUACACUGGGGAAUAAAUCGACACAGCUGGAUAAAGCGCUUUGAACGGUAGAAGAUAAAUCGACACUGCUGAAUGAAUUGAAACCGCAGAAUAAACCUACACUGGAGAAUAAAUCGACACAGCUGGAUAAAGGUAAAUUACUUUUUUUUUUAAAGUAGUUAUAGUGAAAUAAAAUACUAAUGCUUUUAAGUCUUUCGCGCCAUUGUCUUCCAAGAAAAGAAAGGAACUGCGCAUAUGUUGUAAGCGAACCUUACUUAUAUAGAUAUAAAUAUACAAACGAUUCGAUAUCUCAACUGCUCUGACUUGCAUAAAUAUUCAUUGGCGGAAGAUACCAUUCAACUAAGUAAUCUCAUCAUUGAGGCCGCGGACAACCCUUGCAUUAUAAAAGCGUCGGUAAUUAUUUUGAAAAACAAUCAUUUUCCCAGUUAUAAUUAUGCUUAUAACAUAACUGGAAAGAAAAUAGUAAUGAUUAAUAAUGAAUUCCGAGGACCACAACAAAAUCAUUACAUAGUUGGAGAUAAUGCACUUCUAGUUAAUAAUACAUAUCAAGGCCACUUGCAAGUUCAUGAAGUAGCGGGAAUGAAGUCACUGCAUUCAACAAUGUACAUGAUAGUAUAUGUAGAGUCAAUCAAUAUUCAGGAACUAGUAUACUGGUGUUCGAUAACGAAUCUAGAGGAGAUCUGUAUGAUGUCUUACUUCGGGAAAAAUCCGUGAACUCAUUUUAAUAUCGUGAUAUUUUUUUAGCGCUUCGAACGGUAGAAGAUAAAUCGACACUGCUGAAUGAAUUGAAACCGCAGAAUAAACCUACACUGGGGAAUAAAUCGACACAGCUGGAUAAAGCGCUUUGAACGGUAGAAGAUAAAUCGACACUGCUGAAUGAAUUGAAACCGCAGAAUAAACCUACACUGGGGAAUAAAUCGACACAGCUGGAUAAAGCGCUUUGAACGGUAGAAGAUAAAUCGACACUGCUGAAUGAAUUGAAACCGCAGAAUAAACCUACACUGGGGAAUAAAUCGACACAGCUGGAUAAAGCGCUUUGAACGGUAGAAGAUAAAUCGACACUGCUGAAUGAAUUGAAACCGCAGAAUAAACCUACACUGGGGAAUAAAUCGACACAGCUGGAUAAAGCGCUUUGAACGGUAGAAGAUAAAUCGACACUGCUGAAUGAAUUGAAACCGCAGAAUAAACCUACACUGGGGAAUAAAUCGACACAGCUGGAUAAAGCGCUUUGAACGGUAGAAGAUAAAUCGACACUGCUGAAUGAAUUGAAACCGCAGAAUAAACCUACACUGGGGAAUAAAUCGACACAGCUGGAUAAAGGUAAAUUACUUUUUUUUUAAAAGUAGUUAUAGUGAAAUAAAAUACUAAUGCUUUUAAGUCUUUCGCGCCAUUGUCUACCAAGAAAAGAAAGGAACUGCGCAUAUGUUGUAAGCGAACCUUACUUAUAUAGAUAUAAAUAUACAAACGAUUCGAUAUCUCAACUGCUCUGACUUGCAUAAAUAUUCAUUGGCGGAAGAUACCAUUCAACUAAGUAAUCUCAUCAUUGAGGCCGCGGACAACCCUUGCAUUAUAAAAGCGUCAGUAAUUAUUUUGAAAAACAAUCAUUUUCCCGGUUAUAAUUAUGCUUAUAACAUAACUGGAAAGAAAAUAGUAAUGAUUAAUAAUGA